rnacentral:lncRNA from 1 species
AAAAAAUUUAAAAAAUAAUAAUAAUAAUAUUGUGAAGAAGAAGGAGGAGGCCCAAGAUUGUCAGUCUAAAGCUCUGUUUUAGGUUUAUCCUAAAUGCCAUCUCAUUUGUUCCUUUGCCCUGGAGAUCUCUCUCUCUCAGUUUUUGGUGUUUAAGACAACUUUAUGUAUGAUCUGCCCAUUGCUACCUUCCUAUUUUCUCUUACCCAAUUUCAAACAUCUAGCCCCAUAGACUAAAAGUUGGAUUUUAGAGAUGUGUAAAUAGAAUAUGAGUACAUCUUCUUCAGCUGCAACCAUUUGCCCUGUUAUUCUGACUCUAUACAAAGGAUCAAGAUGUGCCUUACAGGAUUGUGACACUCGAUUUUAUUAAAACCUUCAAAAUUUUAGGGAAAUCUAUUUUAGCUUGAGGUAUGCAGAGGUCUGGGCCAGUGCUAGUCUCCUUUCUAGUCUUGAGCCAACUUUCAUAGUAUUUUUAGAUAAUGUUUCAUGGUAGUUGUGCAGGUUGUGCUACCUCCUUAUUACAUUGUCAACCAAGUUUUCAUCUCCAUUGUUUUCAUUUUUAAACAAUAAUCCCAGAUGGCAAAAAUUUAAGAUGUUACUUGAAGGAAUUUCUGGAUCCCUACUCUAAACCCAAUCUUGAAGAUACCACAGAAAGGAGAAGGAAAAUGAUGGAUCUAAAAAAAAUAUUGAAAAAAUGGAAGAGUUCCUGGAGUGAGUUCCAGCUGAAGUAAGAGCCUAGGAAGGAAGGAAGACAUUGGAGAGUUCAUAUGCUAUUUUAGCUGGCUCUGUGAUUGCAAUCACACAAAUCACUACAUUCCAGAGAGAUCCCAUGAACAGAAGGUUUUUCCAUUUUCAGUCUUUCAAGGUUAUGGAACAAUUUUUCCUAGAGCUGCUGGUGGACAGAUAUUCUGUGUUGUCUUUGCUGCAAUUGGAAUCCCUCUAAGUAUCAUAUGCUUUAAAUGUAUUGAUAAAUUAAUUUCUCUACCAUUUGAAAACCUUGGAAACUACCUUAUAUGUAAGAGAAUAAAUGAGGAAAGUUUUCUCUUUCUCCACACAAUCACACACACACACACACACACACACACACACGGUAGAGAAGUUUUGUUUUUAAAAUAUAUGUAUGAUGUAGAUUCACAACCUUAGAUUGACCAAGCACAUGACACUUUAUAUUUAUUGGAUUCAUGCUGAAUGAAAUUUGUAGGAGUAGAAAAAGCAUGUCAAUUUGUGUUGUGAAACAAGAGAGAAAAUCAGCAUUCAAGAAACCAUCUAUUUCCCCUUAGUGAUUUUCCUCUGAUCAUUUAACUUAUAAAAUGAGUGGUGGUGAGGGGCACCUAGAUGGCUCAGUUGGUUGAGCUUCUGACUCUUGAUUUCAGCUCAGGUCAUGAAUUCAGAGUAUUGAGAUCAAGC